GAAAGCAUUCAAAACAGUGCUUGGAAUUGCUGCCAUUUAUCCUGCCUACACAUGAGAGGAAGAGUAGCCAGAGGAAGGAAAGUCCUCAAGAGACGAUUCUUAAAGAGUGCGGCAGAGUCCCAGGCAUAUUCUUGCUGUGCUGGAAUCUGCUGCACACAAUAGGUGAUAGUUUAAUUGAGUACUUUCCAUCUUACAAAUAAAGUCAUCUUGAUUCAGAAUUGG
rnacentral:lncRNA from 1 species